rnacentral:rRNA from 1 species
UACGUAGGGGGCAAGCGUUGUCCGGAUUUAUUGGGCGUAAAGAGCGUGUAGGCGGUCUGGUAGGUCCGUUGUGAAAACUCGAGCUCAACCUCGAGACGCCGAUGGAAACCCUCAGACUAGAGUCCGGAAGAGGAGAGUGGAAUUCCGGGUGUAGCGGUGGAAUGCGUAGAGAUCCGGAAGAACACCGGUGGCGAAGGCGGCCCGCUGGGCAGUGACUGACGCUGAGGCGCGACAGCGUGGGGAGCAAACAGG